UACGUAGGGUGCGAGCGUUGUCCGGAAUUAUUGGGCGUAAAGGGCUCGUAGGCGGUCUGUUGCGUCGGGAGUGAAAACUCAGGGCUUAACCCUGAGCCUGCUUCCGAUACGGGCAGACUAGAGGUAUGCAGGGGAGAACGGAAUUCCUGGUGUAGCGGUGAAAUGCGCAGAUAUCAGGAGGAACACCGGUGGCGAAGGCGGUUCUCUGGGCCAGUACUGACGCUGAGGAGCGAAAGCGUGGGGAGCAAACAGG
rnacentral:rRNA from 1 species